rnacentral:rRNA from 1 species
CCUACGGGGGGCUGCAGUGAGGAAUAUUGGUCAAUGGACGAGAGUCUGAACCAGCCAAGUAGCGUGAAGGAUGACUGCCCUAUGGGUUGUAAACUUCUUUUAUAUGGGAAUAAAACGUUCCACGUGUGGGAUUUUGUAUGUACCAUAUGAAUAAGGAUCGGCUAACUCCGUGCCAGCAGCCGCGGUAAUAUGGAGGAUCCGAGCGUUAUCCGGAUUUAUUGGGUUUAAAGGGAGCGUAGGUGGAUUGUUAAGUCAGUUGUGAAAGUUUGCGGCUCAACCGUAAAAUUGCAGUUGAAACUGGCAGUCUUGAGUACAGUAGAGGUGGGCGGAAUUCGUGGUGUAGCGGUGAAAUGCUUAGAUAUCACGAAGAACUCCGAUUGCGAAGGCAGUUCACUGGACUGCAACUGACACUGAGGCUCGAAAGUGUGGGUAUCAAACAGGAUUAGAUACCCGUGUAGUC